rnacentral:lncRNA from 1 species
GGCUUUCAAACGCUGAUGGAUGGUAAUGGAUGGUAAUAAGUACCCCAGCCUCCUUGCCCUUGGGUGGACCAAUCCAGAGGCUCUUAUCAGGACCAGCCUGAUUCAUUUCAGGUGUACGCAGUCCCUCCCUUCCGUCUCUCUCUUUCACUCCGCCAUCUUCCCGCUGGUGAUGUCUUGGGCAAAGCUGAGCAGCUUUUUUGGAAAGAUAAUCUGCCUGAGCGGAAGCCGGCGUCAUUUGAAACAAAUCCCUGAAGUCACUGACUGUGAGUUGCUGAAGAAAUCAGACGUGUGUGUUACAACCAGCCAUGGAGAAGGGAAUAGCAACCCACUCCAGUAUUCUUGCCUGGAGAAUCCCUUGAACAGAGGAGCCUGUUGAGCUAUAGUCCAUGGAGUUGCAAAGAAUCGGACAUGACUGAGCAACUAACAAACACAACCAGCAAAGUUGUUAAAGGUAGGACAUGAGGUGCUUGU